rnacentral:rRNA from 1 species
UACGUAGGUGGCAAGCGUUGUCCGGAUUUACUGGGCGUAAAGAGCGCGCAGGCGGUCGUUCAAGUCGCGUGUGAAAGCCCCCGGCUCAACUGGGGAGGGUCACGCGAUACUGAUCGACUCGAAGGCAGGAGAGGGAAGUGGAAUUCCCGGUGUAGUGGUGAAAUGCGUAGAUAUUCGGAAGAACACCAGUGACGAAGGCGACUUACUGGACACAUAUUGACGCUGAGGUGCGAAAGCGUGGGGAGCAAACAGGG